AUGCUCGAGUAGGAAGCUGAGAUUCAGGCGCGAAGAGAGGACAGGAUGCGUAACAGACACCAGCAACAAGGAGGCUGAUAGAUAGGUCCUGACCUAUGAUCCUGACCCACACUCCUAAUCAGUAGGUGGCGGUAAUGCCACUAAAAGUUGUUUGCCAACUGCCAGUAAAACUCAAGAAGAAGAAGAAGAAGAAGGCUGAUGUCAGCAGGCUCCAAGGAAACUUCAAGUUUUAAAAGAUGCUGUUUUAAAACAGUUUCCUAUAAGGCCAAGGAAGCUGAUGUCAGAAAAUCUAUCAACAGUAGAAUCUGCGAGCUAAUGGCAUUAAGACACCAGGUGAAGAGCAAAAGCAUGGGUAUGUAAGUGGUUUACAUCAGUGAAGAACCAAGGUGGACUCCUAACCAGGAUAAUGGACUGUUCUUUUGGCAAAUGUUUUUUUUUUUUUUUUUGCUUUUUCACGGUUCCCAAAACUUCUUGAAAGUUUGUUUAUUAUUUAUUUGUUCAUUAUUGUCUGUGCAUUUUGUUUAUUGAUAUUGUCUUUAUUGAUAUUGUCUUUAUAUUGUAAAAUGGCACUGCUGAAAUUUUGAAAUAAUUUAAGUUGCUUCAAUUUAUAUUUUGUAUAUUUUGUGUUUAAUGGCACUCUUUUAAAAUGUAAUUUAUGUAAAUGCAAUGCAACACAUUUAUGUAAUGUAAUGUAAAGCCAAUCACAUUUCCUUUGACUGACCAUAUGCAAAACCUCUUGUGGUUUUAAUAGGCCUAUAGAGCUCUGUACCUCAAAUUGGGUUUAGUAUCUGUGCCUGAUUAAAAGAAAAUAAAGGUGGCUUUUGAUAGAUUA